CAGUAGCCACGGUAAUACGGAGGGUGCAAGCGUUAAUCGGAAUUACUGAGCGUAAAGCGCACGCAGGCGGUCUGACAAGUCAGAUGUGAAAUCCCCGGGCUUAACCUGGGAACUGCAUUUGAAACUGUCAGGCUGGAGUCUUGUAGAGGGGGGUAGAAUUCCAGGUGUAGCGGUGAAAUGCGUAGAGAUCUGGAGGAAUACCGGUGGCGAAGGCGGCCCCCUGGACAAAGACUGACGCUCAGGUGCGAAAGCGUGGGGAGCAAACAGGAUUAGAUACCCCGGUAGUCCCUGUCUCUUAUAA
rnacentral:rRNA from 1 species